GCAGUGGUGAUUCAGUGGAGAAUUCUCGCCUUCCGUGUGGGAGAUCAGGAUUCGAUUCCUGGCCAAUGUG
rnacentral:tRNA from 1 species